UACGGAGGAGGCAAGCGUUAUCCGGAAUUAUUGGGCGUAAAGCGUCCGUAGGCGGGUGAGUAAGUCUGCUGUUAAAGAGUGAGGCUUAACCUCAUAAGGGCAGUGGAAACUCUUCGUCUAGAGUGCGACAGGGGCAAGGGGAAUUCCUAGUGUAGCGGUGAAAUGCGUAGAUAUUAGGAAGAACACCGGUGGCGAAAGCGGCUUGCUGGGUCGGCACUGACACUGAGGGACGAAAGCGAGGGGAGCGAAAGGG
rnacentral:rRNA from 1 species